UCCGGUUUGUCACCGGCAGUCUCAUUAGAGUGCCCUUGCGUAGCAACUAAUGAUAAGGGUUGCGCUUGUUGCGGGACUUAACCCAACAUCUCACGACACGAGCUGACGACAACCGUGCACCACCUGUAUACCGACCUUGCGGGGCGACUGUUUCCAGACGUUUCCGGUAUAUGUCAAGCCUUGGUAAGGUUCUUCGCGUUGCAUCGAAUUAAUCCGCAUGCUCCGCCGCUUGUGCGGGCCCCCGUCAAUUCCUUUGAGUUUUAGCCUUGCGGCCGUACUCCCCAGGCGGGGCACUUAAUGCGUUAGCUACGGCACGGAGAACGUGGAAUGUCCCCCACACCUAGUGCCCACCGUUUACGGCGUGGACUAC
rnacentral:misc_RNA from 1 species